rnacentral:pre_miRNA from 1 species
GAACGACAAAGUGGCCGUUCACUUGAAUAUAUGUAUAUAUAUAUAUAUAUAUAAUCAAGUGAACGGCCAUUUUAUCGUUU